rnacentral:rRNA from 1 species
UCUUCGGAAGCGGACUGAUCUGACUGAGUGGCGGACGGGUGAGUAACGCGUGGGUAACCUGCCCUGUACAGGGGGAUAACAGUUAGAAAUGACUGCUAACACCGCAUAAGCGCACAGAAAGGCAUCUUUCGGUGUGAAAAUAUUUAUAGGUACAGGAUGGGCUCGCGUCUGAUUAGCCAGUUGGCAGGGUAACGGCCUACCAAAGCAACGAUCAGUAGCCGGCUUGAGAGAGUGAACGGCCACAUUGGGACUGAGACACGGCCCAAACUCC